CGGCGGUGCCGGGGAGGGGCUGGGCGGCGGUGGCGCCGCCGGGGACGCCGCGGCCCUGGCCGGCCGUUCGGGCGCUGCGGCCGCUGGC
rnacentral:tRNA from 1 species